GAGGAGAAAUAAACGUUGUGUGGUUUUGUGGAAGUAGUGUUGCACAGCAUGCCAUUCUUUUAUUUUACUCAAAAACGGUGUCGUUACGGUUAAACCUCGUGAAAACCCCUCUUCUUGCUCGCACUUGACCUAGAAAACAAAAUCAAACUUCCUCCUGCUUCACAUUAUCGGCGAAAAUGGCUUCUCGAUGUCGAUCUCUGUCCAAACCAGCGUUCUCAAUCUUUAGAUCCGCAACGAACAAGCCCUCUCUCCGACCCAAAUCAGCUUCAUCGUUUCUCGGCGUCCCUCCUCCUUCGCCUGGACUCGCAAGGCCGAUUGCUCAGCUGGGGUCGCUUCAGUCGCUGCUUCCGUUGUACAGCGCGGUGGCGUCAGCUAGGCUGACAUCGUGCCUGGGGAUCGAUUCGAUGAAUUCAAGGUCGUUGUCUCAGGGUAUGAUCUGCGGUUCGAACCCAGGAGUUUGAUUAUUCUCCCUAAUCUUUUAGCUUGGCUUAAGCGUGCCUCGAUAAGAAGAGAUCAGACUUGAAGAAAAUGGAUUCAUUUAAGAUGGAAUUCUCCCUAGUUUUUUUUGUUGCUUUGCUGGUCUAAUUCUGUCACUCAGAUCAGUUUCUAUUUGUCAGUGUGAUGAACACUCUCUUUUCGUUUCAUCCAGUUAAGUUGAGAAAUAUGUACUCUUCAAAACAUCAAGAUUAAACAAUCAUAGUCUUGUAUUCUUCGUCUUCCUGAACUACUAAGCCAUUUUUUUGGAAUUCGAUUAUUGAUUUAAGCGUUUUCAUUCAAAAGAGUAGUUAUUCAAAAUUUUCAAUCAUUUUCAAGAUGAGAAAGUGCAUGUGCACACAUAUCUCUUGUAUUAUUCUAAAGGUGAACCAUAACCAAAUUGGUUCCGAAUAGUUGGUUUCAAAUUUUGUUACCUUAACCAAAUAUAAAACCGAAACCGAAAAAUAAUCGAACAAAAAUUUUUAAAUACCCAAACCAAAUUUAUAUUCUAGAAUCGAAAAACCAAAAACUAAAAUAAACCGAACCAAUACCGGAAAUGCCAGGUAAGUGUGUGACAAAUGACAUGAGAUGCCCAACAUCCUCUAAACAAACACCUUGCCGUUUCUUACUACACAAAAACAACGUGACGUCUACUACCUUCUCAAACCAUCCUCUUCUUCUCAGACUCAAAACUAACUCGCAACCUCUCCACGAUCCCUUCGAAACUCGCAAGCACAAAAAAAUGGAGAAGAAGCGUGAAGGAGGAGGAGGAGCAGUCGAAAGAACGAGCCAGAUCGUAUCAGAUCCCUACUACUUCCUCCACUUCAUGGCCUUCUUCUCCUACCUCCCGAUCCGCGCCUCCGCCGCACCCUACACCUCUCACCGCCUCUUCGACAGAGAACUCCAAGCCUUUCUAGCCUUCCUCAUGUUCUCAGCUAUAAAGAUGGUUAGGGAGGAGACGUGGGAGGCUUUCGUUGCUGAUAGCUUUCUCUACGCUAAGAUCUUUCUUAUUGGUGUUUCUUUGGUUAUGGAUUAUCGAGUUGCGAUCUGGUUCUGUGUCAUUUUCUCAGUUGUGUAUCUUUUAGCUCAACAGCCAGCGUUUAGUAAGUUAGGAACUGCGAAGAAGCUGACACCUAUGCAGUUGGAGGAUUUGCUAUCAGAUGGGACCACAACUAAGUACUGGUUGAUAGAAUUCUAUGCAUGUAGUUCAUCAAAGUGUGUUCGUUCAAGCCGCUGCUUUCCCGAGCUCUCCAUCACGUACUCGAAUAGUCUUUUGUCUUUUGGAACCAUAGACCUUGGACUUUUCCCUAAUGCUGCAUCAAAGUUCGGAAUAUCUCUUGCCGGUGGAAUGUCUCAGCUUCCAACAUACAUAUUAUAUGAAAAGGGUGUAGAAGUUCAUCGGUUCCCAGACUUUUAUGUUGACGCUGCACCGUCUUUACCCGUAACCAAGAAACUUCUGUGUCAACAUUUUGAGCUCGAUAGGCUUCUGCUUGACUACAUCAACGGAUCAUAGCCAGAAAAUACGACGAUAUGUAGAUGGCUUCUCGUGAGAAGAGCAGUAUGAACACAUGAGCCCGCCAUGGGGACUAUGAGAGGCAAACAUUUUGGUCUCUCGCAUUCUUAUAAUGGGCAUUUUUUAGUGAGGCUGGCCUGAGGAAACGAUAGAUACUGUUUGUGUGUUAUAGAGAGAUAAGAAGAUUAUGCUAAAAUUCUUGAAUUUGAUUGAUGCUAAUGAAAACUUCUGAGUUUCUAGUA